rnacentral:pre_miRNA from 1 species
AAGAGUUUGCUGAUCUCUGUUAGAUAUGUUUGAUAUAAUUGGUGGUUAAUGGUUAAAAGUCCACCAAGUAUCAAACAUGUCACUACAGAGGUCUGUCCUUU